GAUUCUGGCUCAGGAUGAACGCUAGCUACAGGCUUAACACAUACAAGUCGCGGGGCAUCAUGGUGUGUAGCAAUACACACUGAUGGCGACCGGCGGAUGGGUGAGUAACGCGUAUCCAACCUGGCCCUAUCUCAGGCACAGCCCCUCGAAAGAGGGAUUAAUUCCCGAUGUUCCCACGAGUUCGCAUGUUCUUGUGGGCAAAGGCCUUUGCCGGAUAGGGAUGGGGAUGCGUUCCAUUAGGCAGUCGGCGGGGUAACGGCCCACCGAGCCUUCGAUGGAUAGGGGUUCUGAGAGGAAGGCCCCCCACACUGGGACUGAGACACGGCCCAGACUCCUACGGGAGGCAGCAGUGAGGAAUAUUGGUCAAUGGCGGCAACGCUGAACCAGCCAAGUAGCGUGAGGGAUUACGGCCCUAUGGGUUUUAAACCUCUUUUGUUGGGGAGCAACCUGUGCCACUUGUGGCACACUGCGAGUACCCUUCGAAUAAGCAUCGGCUAACUCCGUGCCAGCCGCAGC
rnacentral:rRNA from 1 species